rnacentral:lncRNA from 1 species
UGACAGAAAUUUAAUCAACAUUUACUAUCAACUUUUUAAUCAUUAUAGUACCGUUUGGUUCGGGUAUAAGUAAGAACUAGCUAUUACAGGGAUAAGUACAAAUAUGGGGUUAAAAAAAAAUAGUAUUUGAAUGAAAAUUGGAUUGUUCCCGGGGAUAAGAACAAUUUUAGAUAGUUUUAUAUAGAAAAUGAAGGUGUUGAUGGGGAUAACCAAGAACUACUAUUCUCGAAUAAAAAAUUAGCGUUUGGAUAUAAACGAGGGAUAAGGGCCUAUUUCUAGUCCUAUUCCCUAACCGAGAACUACUAUUAAUUUUAUUAU